rnacentral:tRNA from 1 species
UAAUAAAAGCAAUAAAGCCUUUAGUUUCGACCUAAAAUCCGUAUGUAAAAUACUUAUUAU